rnacentral:lncRNA from 1 species
CUUCUUUCCUAUCCGAGAUCUUUGCGCAAACCCAAACCAUCUGGAGGAGCUUUAUUCAUCCAUAACCCUCAUAAGCUUAGUUCUACGAUAGCUUUACCUGAAUCCCUCAGGUAGGGACAUACAGCCUGAUGUACAACAAGGUAGGAUACCAAGAACAGGGGAAUGGCAAAACAAAACAGAGCACAAACCAAUGAAACCAAUAAAACAACCAGAGCCAUGUUUCAUGUUUAGAUCAACAGGCUUGGCUGUAGGUGAGUGAUCUAGAAUACGUUCCAUGGAGAUAAGAACAAAAUAAGACUCCUAUAUGAUGCAUAGUAAAAACUAAAACAGAGUAGUAUCAUUCUCAAAUCACCCCAAGGAAAAUAGAUGAAAUAGCCAUAAUAAAAUCCAUGGACCAAAUAGGAAUCGUAAAACUGAACGUAUAAUCGAACAAAUCCACAGAAAAUAUCAAGAAAAAGGGAAUAAGACUAUAGUGUGAUAAAGAAAAUCCAAGGAUACAGGGCAGUCAUACCUCUCUUUUCUCCUCCCUCAAGCUUCCCUGUAGCUGCCUCCCUCACCUCUGAAU